rnacentral:rRNA from 1 species
AGAGUUUGAUCCUGGCUCAGAACGAACGCUGGCGGCGUGCUUAAUACAUGCAAGUCGUGCGAGAAAGUUUCCUUCGGGGAAUGAGUAGAGCGGCGAACGGGUGAGUAACACGUAAGCAACCUGCCUCUAAAUCGGGGAUAACCUUGCCAACGCGGGGCUAAUACCGGAUGUGAUCUUCCUUACUUAUGUAGAGUUGAUUAAAGGCGACCUCUCCAUGGAAGUUGUUGUUUAGAGAUGGGCUUGCGUACCAUUAGCUUGUUGGCAGGGUAACGGCCUACCAAGGCUACGAUGGUUAGCCGACCUGAGAGGGUGAUCGGCCACAUUGGGACUGAGAUACGGCCCAGACUCCUACGGGAGGCAGCAGUAGGGAAUUUUGCGCAAUGGACGAAAGUCUGACGCAGCAACGCCGCGUGAGGGAUGACGGCCUUCGGGUUGUAAACCUCUGUUGAGUGGGACGAAAUAUUUUACGGAUAAUACCCGUAGAACUUGACUGUACCAUUCGAGGAAGCUCCGGCUAACUACGUGCCAGCAGCCGCGGUAAUACGUAGGGGGCUAGCGUUGUUCGGAAUCACUGGGCGUAAAGGGAGUGUAGGCGGACUGGUAAGUUAGAAGUGAAAUCCACAGGCUCAACCUGUGACCCGCUUUUAAUACUGCCAGCCUUGAGUACAGGAGAGGGUAACGGAAUUCCAGGUGUAGCGGUGGAAUGCGUAGAUAUCUGGAAGAACACCAGUAGCGAAGGCGGUUACCUGGCCUGAUACUGACGCUGAGGCUCGAAAGCUAGGGGAGCGAACAGGAUUAGAUACCCUGGUAGUCCUAGCCGUAAACGAUGGACACUAGUUGCUGGAGGAGUCAAUCCUUUCAGUGACGAAGCUAACGCAUUAAGUGUCCCGCCUGGGGAGUACGCUCGCAAGGGUGAAACUCAAAGGAAUUGACGGGGGCCCGCACAAGCGGUGGAGCAUGUGCUUUAAUUCGAUGCAACGCGAAGAACCUUACCUGGGUUUGACAUGGGAGUGAAAGUUUUCAGAGAUGAGAGCCUUUCCUUCGGGAACACUCUACACAGGUGCUGCAUGGUUGUCGUCAGCUCGUGUCGUGAGAUGUUGGGUUAAGUCCCGCAACGAGCGCAACCCUUGCCCUUAGUUACCAGCGGGUAAUGCCGGGAACUCUAGGGCACUGCUUGGUAUAACCAGGAGGAAGGUGGGGAUGACGUCAAAUCCUCAUGGCCCUUACGCCCAGGGCUAGACACGUGCUACAAUGGCAGGUACAGCGGGACGCAAGACUGCAAGGUUUAGCAAAUCCCUUAAAACCUGUCUCAGUUCGGAUUGGAGUCUGCAACUCGACUCCAUGAAGGUGGAAUCGCUAGUAAUCGCGGAUCAGCAUGCCGCGGUGAAUACGUUCCCGGGCCUUGUACACACCGCCCGUCAAGCCAUGAAAGGCGGGAGUACCCGAAGUCGUUCCUCUAACCCGCAAGGGAAGAGUACGCCGAAGGUAAGACUGCUGAUUGGGGCUAAGUCGUAACAAGGUA